AUCCUUUUGUAGUUACUAAGCGUGAUGAUUGGGUUUUCACGCACAUGCAUGAGAUUCACCUCUCUCAAUUAUUGCUACAAUGUUGGCACAUUACCAGUCUAACA